AACGAACGCUGGCGGCAGGCCUAACACAUGCAAGUCGAACGAGAAGCCACCUUCGGGUGGUGGACAGUGGCAGACGGGUGAGUAACGCGUGGGAACGUGCCUUUCGGUUCGGAAUAACCCAGGGAAACUUGGGCUAAUACCGGAUACGCCCUCCGGGGGAAAGAUUCAUCGCCGAAAGAUCGGCCCGCGUCGGAUUAGCUAGUUGGUGGGGUAAUGGCUCACCAAGGCGACGAUCCGUAGCUGGUCUGAGAGGAUGACCAGCCACACUGGGACUGAGACACGGCCCAGACUCCUACGGGAGGCAGCAGUGGGGAAUAUUGGACAAUGGGCGAAAGCCUGAUCCAGCCAUGCCGCGUGGGUGAAGAAGGCCUUAGGGUUGUAAACCCCUUUCAGCGGGGAAGAUAAUGACGGUACCCGCAGAAGAAGUCCCGGCUAACUCCGUGCCAGCCGCCGCGGUAA
rnacentral:rRNA from 1 species